GGGGGCCAGAGAAGGGACAGUUUAUGGGCAAUGGCAAGAGGAAGCUGCUUGUGGCUGUGGGUAGGACCGACCACAGGUGUUCCAUCCCCAGGCUUCAUUGAGGACCCUGAGAGGAAGUAUCACUUUGAGUGCAGCAGCGAGGAGCAGUGUCAGGAGUGGAUGGAGGCUCUGCGUCGGGCCAGCUACGAGUUCAUGCGGAGAAGCCUCAUCUUCUAUAGGAAUGAAAUCCGGAAGGUGACGGGCAAGGUGUGUGCAGGGCUGCAGAGGGCCGGGGUGGGGCUGCAGGUGGCCGGGGUGGGGCUGCAGGUGGCAGAGGCAGUCCUCCAGCCCUGGCUCAUGGCCACCCGUCCUCCCCACAGGACCCCCUGGAACAGUUCGGCAUAUCCGAGGAGGCCAGGUUCCAGCUGAGUGGCUUGCAGGCGUGAGCGCAGGGCACGGUGGUCAGCGUGCAGCGGGACGGGACUGGCCCUGCCCAGCCAUGAAUCGCUUGGCCAUGCCUGGAUUUGUUUUGUUUUGGUUUUUGGGUCAGGGUUUCACUGUGUUGCCCAGGCUAGAGUGCAGUGGUGCCACAGCUCACUGUGACCUUGACCUUCUGGACUCAAGUGAUCCUCCUGCCUCAGCUUCCCAAGUAGCGGGGAUCACAGGCAUGAGCCGCCACACCCGGCCAUCACACCUGGAUCUUCAGUGGGAGGUUUUUGGUUUGGAGACAUCCAAAGCCUGAAGCCAGGUGGGUGUGGGCAGGGGCUGCAUUUUAUGAAACUGCCCAGCAAGCUGCGCUCCCUGGGGCCCCAGGAUCCACCUAACUGGCCUGGCACCUGGUGCCACGUGCUGCUGCCGCCAGGAUAUGCGCCUUCCCACAGGUGCCCCGCCUGAGUUGUGUGCAUCCAGGGGCCUGGUGAGCCC
rnacentral:sRNA from 1 species